ensembl:piRNA 21ur-3417 ncRNA
UGUUAAAUUUCCGCGACUUAA